rnacentral:tRNA from 1 species
GGAGAGGUGCCUGAGCGGUCGAAAGGGACGGUCUCGAAAACCGUUGGGCCCGUCAGGGUCCCGUGGGUUCGAAUCCCACCCUCUCCGCCA